rnacentral:rRNA from 1 species
AUUGAACGCUGGCGGCAGGCCUAACACAUGCAAGUCGAGCGCGCGGCGGACGGGUGAGUAAUGUCUGGGAAACUGCCUGAUGGAGGGGGAUAACUACUGGAAACGGUAGCUAAUACCGCAUACCCUCAGAUGUGCCCAUAUGGGAUUAGCUGGUAGGUGGGGUAAUGGCUCACCUAGGCGACGAUCCCUAGCUGGUCUGAGAGGAUGAACAGCCACACUGGAACUGAGACACGGUCCAGACUCCUACGGGAGGCAGCAGUGGGGAAUAUUGCACAAUGGGCGCAAGCCUGAUGCAGCCAUGCCGCGUGUGUGAAGAAGGCCUUCGGGUUGUAAAGCACUUUCAGCGGGGAGGCGUUACCCGCAGAAGAAGCACCGGCUAACUCCGUGCCAGCAGCCGCGGUAAUAC